rnacentral:rRNA from 1 species
AGCGAACGCUGGCGGCAUGCCUAACACAUGCAAGUCGCACGGGGGGGCUUCGGCCUCCCAGUGGCGGACGGGUGGGGAACGCGUAGGGACCUGUCGAGGGGUGGGGGAUAACCGCGGGAAACUGCGGCUAAUACCGCAUGACGCCGCGGCGUGACAGCCGGGGCCAAAGGCGAAAGCCGCCCGCCGAGGGGCCUGCGUCCGAUUAGCUGGUUGGCGGGGUAGCGGCCCACCAAGGCGUCGAUCGGUAGCUGGUCUGAGAGGGUGAUCAGCCACACCGGGACUGAGACACGGCCCGGACUCCUACGGGAGGCAGCAGUGGGGAAUAUUGGACAAUGGGCGCAAGCCUGAUCCAGCAAUGCCGCGUGGGUGAAGAAGGUCUUCGGAUUGUAAAGCCCUUUCGGCGGGGACGAUGGUGACGGUACCCGCAGAAGAAGCCCCGGCUAACUUCGUG